UAAUCGCGAAUCAGAAUGUCGCGGUGAAUACGUUCCCGGGUCUUGUACACACCGCCCGUCACACCAUGGGAGUCGGAAAUGCCCGAAGUCAGUGACCCAACCGUAAGGAGGGAGCUGCCGAAGGUGGAGCCGGUAACUGGGGUGAAGUCGUAACAAGGUAAC
rnacentral:rRNA from 1 species